AGAAUUUUCAGCAUUAGCCAUCUCUUUGGCCGCCAGCUUAAUAAAGGACUCUUAAUUCGUCUCAAAGUGUGGCAUAUUUUUUAACUCGCUUGGAUACAACAUAAUGGAGGUCCCAGUGAGAAAUUAACUCCACUGGGUGAGAGCCGGUCUCACUCUGGGCUCCCCCGGAAGGACGGCUGGCUUGGAUGGGGGGCGCCACCUGAGGAAAUAAUUUUUAAGGUCCCAGAAGAGUAACUGCCUUCCGGAGGAGAGCGGAUCGACCACCGUGUCAUUGCCCUAAAAUUCAACAUCUGAGUCCUCAGCUUCUGACCCCGGCUGAAGGGAGUUCCUCCUAGAUGUGGUCGGAUCUUUUUAAGGAGUCAAGUUCUACUUGCAGAGCCAAUGAAAGUCCCUUGGAAGAACUGGGCUUAUACCUUGUCUUCACAGUCCUUGCACAGGGUUCCUGACUUCAGAGUAUCCCUGAGCCUCAUCUUCCACAGUCAUGUGAGAAGAACCCAAUUUUGCUGAAGUGAGGAGAAAGUUCUGCAAAAUGAGGAUUGUGAAUCCUCACUGCAGUUUCAGCACUUCUGAAGCUGUGGUGGGAGAAUCAAUUGAGCUUUAGACUUCAAGGAUACAGUGAGCAAUGAUUAUGACACUACAGCCUGAGUGAAAAAGAGGCCUGGAUGAAAGUAGUAAAAAGAACAACUGCAUCCUUCUAUAGCUGAUACCUUGUUGAGCUGUGAAGCACAUUGAGCAGAGUCUGAAAUCCUUCCUCACUUACAGGUUGCUGAGGUGACCUUCUCCAGAUUUUCAUUAGACCGUGACAUUCUGGAGCCCCAGUUCCACUAUUUUCCAAGGUGGGACAUGCUGAACCAGACCCUGAAAUUGUGGUUCAGUGUGACCAGGCUGAGACUGACCUUUAAAAGAAAGAACUGCAAAGUUGGUGUCUUAUUUUCCUUGUCAUUCCAGUGUAUCUUUUGGUAAAGAGACCAGAAAAGACUACUUUGGUAUGGAGACCAGAAAAGAGAGAGUAUGUGACAGCCCUCCUCAUAGAGUGGUACUAUUUAUUCAUGACUCCAAAGCGUCAAGAAAAGUUGAGAGAACUGUCUUCCUGGCACAGCCUGAGUAGGCUAGAGCACUGUGACCCUUAAUACUUAGUUCAUGUAUUCUUCACAGAAAUUAAAAAAAAUAGUAUAUGGGGGUAGAGAAAUGGUUGGUACAAAUAACAAGUUGCAGGUGAAAUAAUUGGAGACAGGAAGAGAAUGGAAUCUGCUUACACCAGUACACAUACUGCCUAGGUGCUGCUGAACAGUCAAGUCAGUUCUCUGAUUUGAGCCUUGUGUCUUGGAAUUAACAGGCCCACUUCUGCUCUGGCCUGAGUGCUAAACUUUUUUGUUCUAGAAUCAAAUGUGAAUUCUGGACUCUGGAAUUCCAGUUGCGUUUCACAGGCCAGUGGAUUAAGGAGGCCCAAAUCAGCCCACAAAAGGGGUUGUGGAUGGCUCUACCACAAAUGACUGGUUGCUUUUGUGCCUACACUCAUGAAGAAGAGGCAUCAUCUUCCUCAAGGCAAGCCCAGAGAGAUCUGAAGCGUACAGGUGCCAGUGAAGGCAACAGAAGAGAACUGGAGAAACUGUUUUUUUACCAAGGCCUUGACUGAAAAAGAAGCUUCCCUGUAAGGAGUCAAGUUCAACUUGCAGAGCCAAGAACACUUCGGUGGCAAAAUUGGCUUCACACCUCAUCUAAACAGUCCUUUAGCAGGGUUCCUUAUUACAGAGAGGUAAUCACGUCUCCAUACUUUGGGUUGUUCCACUUCAAUGCAUCCUCCAAGUUUGGAAGAGUUAAUUUCCAAAACAUUAAACUGGAUGGCUUAGGAUUGGACCCAGGAGAAAAGAACCCAGAAGACUGAUAUGCUGUCUUAUAGGAAAGUGAUCAAGAUUGCUGAAUAGAAGCAGCUAGCCUGUGUAGUUCUCAUAGAAAGAAAUGUAAGGUGUGCAUAAAUACAUCACCUUCAACUGAAACUUCCAGGUACUUGCAUUGGGAACAAUCAAACAACUUAAGUUAUGGAGAAUGGAAUAAAGCAAGAAAGGACAAUAGGCCACCUGGGAGCAACAUGAAGCCAAGAAAACCUCCACAUUCAAUGAAGCAGUGGGUAUAUAUAUGACCCUGGGAAUCCAUGAUUCUCCCACAGAUCUUUGCAGCUGUCAGGUAAGGAGAUCUAUUCAUGUACCUGCUUCAUCAAGAUCUUCAGUUUAACAUACAGAAAUAAAUGUAGUCUCAAGAGAUCAGCUACUGAGGCCCUUGCAGAGAUUCAAAAGCCUUAGGUAAUUGGGCUUUCCAGGCUUCCCAGAAAAAGUAGUUGCAACUCGAGCAAAGGAGGAUGCAACACUUCUGUAAUUACCCAUAGAAAAGAGGCAGAAUCCAGGAGGUUGAGCAUUGAUGAUCUAUAGAACUCAUGCCCACAGUGCCCCACAGUGUAAGACUUACUGGCUUAGCAUUCUGCUCAACCAUUGGCAGUAGCACUAUACCUCCCUGAAAUGGAGAGGAGGACCAGAAAGUCGAGUGGGACACCACCUACCAGAAAGUUGAGUGGGACACCACCUUAGCUGCUUGGGCAACUUAGCCCUUCCAGCCUUCAGAUUUUAAAAAGCCCAAUCUGACAUAGGGCAGAAUCUCCUAGCACAGUACAAAUGCCCUAAAAAGACAUGGUCAGACUCCUUAUUAAAUCAGGUCCCCAAUCUCAUUUCUUAACACUGGAAAGCACUUCCUAACCAGUGUGUCCAGUUACCACCAUUGGUGCUGUUUGGUCGAUGGAAUUUUGAAAUAUCUUCGGGAUAUAUUUCCUAGAGGAAAGAGUGAGCAGCAAUUUUUCCUAUGUGUAUGACUUAGCUCUUCCAGCCCUCUGGCUUUAAAGAAUCCAAAUAAGCUGGGGAUGGAAGUGGUACCUCUGCACAUCAGAGAUGUACUAAAAAAAUGUGGCUAGACUGCCUUCUUAUGUGGCUCCCCAAUAAUGUUCUCCUUACUGAGUAAGAAAUUUCGACAAGAGAUUCCAGCUACCUCCUACAGGUGCUAUUGAGCUGGAAAGCGGUCUAUAACUCCCUAGGAUAGAGCUCCCAGAAAAAAAAAAAGUGACACACUGAAAUUGUUUAGUUUUGCAGCAUUCACUGGUGGUAACUUCAAAUACUGGAAAAUCUGAGGUGACUAGGAAUUUCAGUGGACUGCUAGCACACUGAA
rnacentral:lncRNA from 1 species